rnacentral:rRNA from 1 species
GACGAACGCUGGCGGCGUGCUUAACACAUGCAAGUCGAACGGAAAGGCCAUGCUUUUGCGGGGUGCUCGUGUGGCGCGCGCGUGUGUAUAACGCGUGUAUAAUGCCCUUGACUUUGGGAGAAAAUUAGGAAAAAGGGGCUCAUAUAGCGUAGGAGAUCCUGCUGCAUGGUGGGGGUAGGUAAGUGUCGGCGUUUGGGGAUGGACUCGCGGAUUAUCAGCUUGUUGGUGGGGUGGUGGCUUACCAAGGCAUUGACGGGUAGCCGGCCUGAGAGGGUGACCGGCCACAGUGGGACUGGGGUACGACCCAGACGCCUACGUGAGGCAGGGGUGGGAAAUUGUGCACAAUGGGCGGAAGCCUUAUGCAGCAACGCCGCGUGCUGGAGGACGGUCUUCAGGUUGUAAACCGCUUUCGCCUGGAACGAAGCGUCAGUGACGGUAAUGGGUAAGGAAGCACCGGCUAACUACGUG